CCUACGGGUGGCAGCAGUGAGGAAUAUUGGUCAAUGGCCGGAAGGUUGAACCAGCCAAGCCGCGUGAGGGACGACUGUCCCAUGCGUUGUAAACCUCUUUUAUCAGGGGAGAAUAUCUGCCACGUGUAGCUUGCUGACUGUACCUGAUGAAUAAGCAUCGGCUAACUCCGUGCCAGCAGCCGCGGUAAUACGGAGGAUGCGAGCGUUAUCCGGUUUUAUUGGGGUUAAAGGGUGCGUAGGCGGUCUUUUAAGUUAGUGGUAAAACCUCGGGGCUUAACCUCGCUUUGCCAUUAAUACUGUUAGUCUCGAGUUGAGACGAGCUAUGCGGAAUAAGUAGAGUAGCGGUGAAAUGCUUAGAU
rnacentral:rRNA from 1 species